rnacentral:rRNA from 1 species
ACAGCAGUAGCCGCGGUAAUACGUAGGUGGCAAGCGUUGUCCGGAAUUAUUGGGCGUAAAGGGCUCGCAGGCGGUUUCUUAAGUCUGAUGUGAAAGCCCCCGGCUCAACCGGGGAGGGUCAUUGGAAACUGGGAAACUUGAGUGCAGAAGAGGAGAGUGGAAUUCCACGCGUAGCGGUGAAAUGCGUAGAGAUGUGGAGGAACACCAGUGGCGAAGGCGACUCUCUGGUCUGUAACUGACGCUGAGGAGCGAAAGCGUGGGGAGCGAACAGGAUUAGAUACCCCUGUAGUCCCUGUCUCUUAUAC